rnacentral:rRNA from 1 species
ACGAAGAGUUUGAUCCUGGCUCAGGAUGAACGCUAGCGACAGGCUUAACACAUGCAAGUCGAGGGGCAGCACAGGUAGCAAUACCGGGUGGCGACCGGCGCACGGGUGAGUAACGCGUAUGCAACUUACCUAUCAGAGGGGGAUAACCCGGCGAAAGUCGGACUAAUACCGCAUGAAGCAGGGGCCCCGCAUGGGGAUAUUUGCUAAAGAUUCAUCGCUGAUAGAUAGGCAUGCGUUCCAUUAGGCAGUUGGCGGGGUAACGGCCCACCAAACCGACGAUGGAUAGGGGUUCUGAGAGGAAGGUCCCCCACAUUGGUACUGAGACACGGACCAAACUCCUACGGGAGGCAGCAGUGAGGAAUAUUGGUCAAUGGCCGAGAGGCUGAACCAGCCAAGUCGCGUGAGGGAUGAAGGUUCUAUGGAUCGUAAACCUCUUUUAUAAGGGAAUAAAGUGCGGGACGUGUCCCGUUUUGUAUGUACCUUAUGAAUAAGGAUCGGCUAACUCCGUGCCAGCAGCCGCGGUAAUACGGAGGAUCCGAGCGUUAUCCGGAUUUAUUGGGUUUAAAGGGUGCGUAGGCGGCCUUUUAAGUCAGCGGUGAAAGUCUGUGGCUCAACCAUAGAAUUGCCGUUGAAACUGGGGGGCUUGAGUAUGUUUGAGGCAGGCGGAAUGCGUGGUGUAGCGGUGAAAUGCAUAGAUAUCACGCAGAACCCCGAUUGCGAAGGCAGCCUGCCAAGCCAUUACUGACGCUGAUGCACGAAAGCGUGGGGAUCAAACAGGAUUAGAUACCCUGGUAGUCCACGCAGUAAACGAUGAUCACUAGCUGUUUGCGAUACACUGUAAGCGGCACAGCGAAAGCGUUAAGUGAUCCACCUGGGGAGUACGCCGGCAACGGUGAAACUCAAAGGAAUUGACGGGGGCCCGCACAAGCGGAGGAACAUGUGGUUUAAUUCGAUGAUACGCGAGGAACCUUACCCGGGUUUGAACGCAUUCGGACCGAGGUGGAAACACCUUUUCUAGCAAUAGCCGUUUGCGAGGUGCUGCAUGGUUGUCGUCAGCUCGUGCCGUGAGGUGUCGGCUUAAGUGCCAUAACGAGCGCAACCCUUGCCACUAGUUACUAACAGGUAAAGCUGAGGACUCUGGUGGGACUGCCAGCGUAAGCUGCGAGGAAGGCGGGGAUGACGUCAAAUCAGCACGGCCCUUACAUCCGGGGCGACACACGUGUUACAAUGGCGUGGACAAAGGGAAGCCACCUGGCGACAGGGAGCGAAUCCCCAAACCACGUCUCAGUUCGGAUCGGAGUCUGCAACCCGACUCCGUGAAGCUGGAUUCGCUAGUAAUCGCGCAUCAGCCAUGGCGCGGUGAAUACGUUCCCGGGCCUUGUACACACCGCCCGUCAAGCCAUGGGAGCCGGGGGUACCUGAAGUCCGUAACCGCGAGGAUCGGCCUAGGGUAAAACUGGUGACUGGGGCUAAGUCGUAACAAGGUAGCCGUACCGGAAGGUGCGGCUGGAACACCUCCUUU